rnacentral:tRNA from 1 species
GCCUAGUUGGCUCAGUAGGUGGGACAAAGCAGCUGUUGUUCUCAGGGUUGUGGGUUCAAGCCCCACACUGGGUA